AAAAACGCCCCGCACGCAGAUGCCUGGCUGUACUGCUGGAAUGUGAUGCACACGGACAGCGGGUUGUCCAGAUUCCGGAGGGCGGAUGAGCCUGACUCUAAGGCACUUGGAUACCACUACUGCCAAGGAAGCAGUGAUUGGAAGGUGGAGAGAGAGAGGCGAACAGCAGCGUAAUCCAUCUCUCAUCUGUCGUGCUAUGUUCUUUCGCCUCAGACAUUUAACUCCAGGAUACUUCCGCCUCUUACAGAUGCAGCUGACCAGUAGAUCUGAAUCAGAAUCUGAAGACCGGCUGAUAAACCACUUGGCCCUGCUGCUAGCAGUUAUGGGAUUAGGCCUGUCUUACUAUAGUGUCCGGCAGAUGAGCAAAGAGUUCAAACCUGAUCCAGAACCUUGAGUCAGGAGUGACCAAAGAUGACAGCAAUGUGAGCCAGAAGAAUGGACGCUGAAGGACUCUGCUGUUAAUUCCACAGCAUAAGAAAUAUCCUUUGUGCGUGGAUUGCCUGACCGCCUUGCUGCGUCUAUGAGGAUAUGCAAAACCACCUUUCUGGUGCUGACAUGGAAGGUGAAUUUCUGAUGCCCUUCUCGGACCAUCUAGCUUCAUUCUCUAAUCCUAGAUGUUCUCCAGUGAAGAGCAGGCUUAGGUAUUUCUCCAUGCACUACGAUCUAGUCUGAGAAUCUAGCCCUUCUUCCCAUUGCAGGACUUUCUAUCCUUCUCUGGACCUUGAUCUUCAUGUCCAGAGGACAUGGAAACAUCACCAAGAAGGUGAAGCCCUGUGUGCAACAUCCGAUGGUAAUGGUGACUACUGCUUUACUGGUUUCCUAAAAAGUGAAAUUUCUUUCCAGAGGGCUACGCCCAGCCACUUUUAGGACCCUCUUAUCUCAGCAUAGGAAAGGUGGGAGAGGCUCAGGAGCGACAGGCAAAGCGAAAAUUCUGCCCUGGAAAGUAAACACGUUAGUUACAGCCGGUUGAAUGAGCCCUUUUGGUGUCAGCGCCCUCCCACACAGCCGGCGGGAGCAUCAUGACGAGCCCGAAUUGCAGACAGCCCGUUGCAUAACAGAACAUGUGGCCCAGACAGCUGUGACCUAAAUCAUGGCCUUAAAGAAUGAUUAGGAAGAAGAUGGAGCUUUAAAAAGCUGGUGACCUUCUUCUCUUGUAAAAAUUUAAGCAACGGUCAAGGGGAAUAAAAAAAAAGAAUGCGCGCUUGACGCA
rnacentral:lncRNA from 1 species